CUCCACUGGCGGCAUGCUAUACAUGCAAGUCGAACGAGCUUCCGUUGAAUGACGUGCUUGCACUGAUUUCAACAAUGAAGCGAGUGGCGAACUGGUGAGUAACACGUGGGGAAUCUGCCCAGAAGCAGGGGAUAACACUUGGAAACAGGUGCUAAUACCGUAUAACAACAAAAUCCGCAUGGAUUUUGUUUGAAAGGUGGCUUCGGCUAUCACUUCUGGAUGAUCCCGCGGCGUAUUAGUUAGUUGGUGAGGUAAAGGCCCACCAAGACGAUGAUACGUAGCCGACCUGAGAGGGUAAUCGGCCACAUUGGGACUGAGACACGGCCCAAACUCCUACGGGAGGCAGCAGUAGGGAAUCUUCCACAAUGGACGAAAGUCUGAUGGAGCAAUGCCGCGUGAGUGAAGAAGGGUUUCGGCUCGUAAAACUCUGUUGUUAAAGAAGAACACCUUUGAGAGUAACUGUUCAAGGGUUGACGGUAUUUAACCAGAAAGCCACGGCUAACUACGUGCCAGCAGCCGCGGUAAUACGUAGGUGGCAAGCGUUGUCCGGAUUUAUUGGGCGUAAAGCGAGCGCAGGCGGUUUUUUAAGUCUGAUGUGAAAGCCUUCGGCUUAACCGGAGAAGUGCAUCGGAAACUGGGAGACUUGAGUGCAGAAGAGGACAGUGGAACUCCAUGUGUAGCGGUGGAAUGCGUAGAUAUAUGGAAGAACACCAGUGGCGAAGGCGGCUGUCUAGUCUGUAACUGACGCUGAGGCUCGAAAGCAUGGGUAGCGAACAGGAUUAGAUACCCUGGUAGUCCAUGCCGUAAACGAUGAGUGCUAAGUGUUGGAGGGUUUCCGCCCUUCAGUGCUGCAGCUAACGCAUUAAGCACUCCGCCUGGGGGAGUACGACCGCAAGGUUGAAACUCAAAGGAAUUGACGGGGGCCCGCACAAGCGGUGGAGCAUGUGGUUUAAUUCGAAGCUACGCGAAGAACCUUACCAGGUCUUGACAUCUUUCUGCCAAUCUUAGAGAUAGACGUUCCCUUCGGGGACAGAAUGACAGGUGGUGCAUGGUGUCGUCAGCUCGUGUCGUGAGAUGUGGGUUAAGUCCCGCAACGAGCGCACCCUUAUUAUCAGUUGCCAGCAUUCAGUUGGGCACUUCUGGGUGAGACUGCG
rnacentral:rRNA from 1 species